GUUGAUAGAAGAUGUAAAGAAGUGAACGUUAUUCCGUUGUCCCGUGCAGCAAGGCUCUCAGGAUAAAACUGCGUUUGAUGUGCAUCGCUUAAAUCUUUUCGCUAAAACCCGAGGAAUACAAACAGGACUUACCUCAAAUAUUAAUACUUUCGAGAAUUUAUAGACUCAUUUCGAAAUGGCGACCACUGCAAACGCAGUGGCUGUGGCAACAACACCGCCGACGGCUACAACCCCGACGACCAAUACCGCAACUACACCAGAUGAUAAAAGUUCACGUCAAUUUCCUAAGGCUGGCACACGAGCUCUUCUCAUUGAAAAGGGGCUAAAUGUAAUUCAAUGAAGAUCUGGAGAAGUAAUAAUAAAUGUUGUUGCUUGGAAUGUGGCAAAAGCAAAUCCAAAAAUCCAAUCGUGUUAGAGAAACGCGACAAUGCUAACAACAUCAACAACAGAAGCAGCAGCAACAUCAGCAACAGCAACAGCAAUAAUAAUCAUAAUAACAGUACAAUUAUAUUGAU
rnacentral:lncRNA from 1 species